rnacentral:rRNA from 1 species
GCGUCAGUCGCAAGAUGAAGCGUUGAAUUGAAGCCCGAGUAAACGGCGGCCGUAACUAUAGCGGUCCUAAGGUAGCGAAAUUCCUUGUCGGUUAAAUACCGACCUGCAUGAAUGGCGUAACGAGAUGGGAGCUGUCUCAACCAGAGAUUCAGUGAAAUUGUAGUGGAGGUGAAAAUUCCUCCUACCCGCGGCAAGACGGAGAGACCCCGUGGACCUUUACUACAGCUUAGCACUG